GACGAACGCUGGCGGCGUGCCUAAAUGCAUGCAAGUCGAGCGGGCUACGAUCUUCGGAUUGUAGCUUAGCGGCGAACGGGUGAGUAACACGUAGGUAAUCUACCCUUCAGAGGAGGACAACCUCAGGAAACUGAGGCUAAACCUUCAUACGUUCACUGGUAGGGAUACUGGUGAAGAAAGAGUUACCUUAGUGGUAGCUGCUGAAGGAUGAGCCUGCGGCCCAUCAGGUAGUUGGUGAGGUAACGGCUCACCAAGCCGAAGACGGGUAACCGGUCUGAGAGGAUGUCCGGUCACACUGGGACUGAGACACGGCCCAGACUCCUACGGGAGGCAGCAGCAGGGGAAUCUUGGGCAAUGGGCGAAAGCCUGACCCAGCGACGCCGCGUGGAGGAAGAAGUCCUUCGGGGCGUAAACGUACCUGGACUGGGGGACGAGGAAGGACGGUACCCCGAGAGAAAGGGAACGGGCGUAACUAACGUGCCAGCAGCCGCGGUAAGGAGGUAGUACGAA
rnacentral:rRNA from 1 species